rnacentral:miRNA from 14 species
GGUGUCGCCAGGUGGAAUGGGAGGUGACUGGAAGAAGGCAGUUUUCCCUCCCCACCCCUGUACCAGUGAAGCGGAAAGG